GCAGGAAGCAUGGAGGGAGGGCAUAUUGGGACAAUAAUAGCAAAGCAGAUUGGGUGAGACACCUUGAAAAAGGGAAAGAAAGAAGGGGAGAGAUGUCUGGAUGGAGGAAGAGAAUGAGAAUGGAGGAAAAACAAGACCUUUGCUUCUUUCAGUGCACAGAAUGCACCUGCCCUGGGGAUAAAUCAUGGCUGAGGACAGUGGCGUAGCCAGCUUCUAAGAGGAGGGGCAGCAAACAUAAAAAAGAUGGGGAAAAUGAGGCACAGAGACUCUGAACGACCUGCUUAAGGUCAUACAAGAAACCUGUUGCAGAGUCAAGAACAGAACCAAGAUCUCCUGACAUUCAGUCUUUCUUCUUUAACGAGCACACAACCCAAAAUAUAAAAUUAAAUGUGAUUAAAUGCUGCA